GUGGGAGGGGGCUUGCUCCCGAUGACAGUGUGUCAGUCGACCUGUUCAUGGCUGACCCACUGCUAUCGGGAGCAAGCCCCCUCCCAC
rnacentral:misc_RNA from 1 species